GACAGAGGAUGCAAGCGUUAUCCGGAAUGAUUGGGCGUAAAGCGUCUGUAGGUGGCUUUUAAGUCCGCCGUCAAUCCAGGCUCAACCCUGGACAGGCGGUGGAAACUACCAAGCUGGAGUACGGUAGGGCAGAGGGAAUUUCCGGUGGAGCGGUGAAAUGCGUAGAGAUCGGAAAGAACACCAACGGCGAAAGCACUCUGCUGGGCCGACACUGACACUGAGAGACGAAAGCUAGGGGAGCGAAUGGG
rnacentral:rRNA from 1 species